UACGUAGGUCCCGAGCGUUGUCCGAAUUUAUUGGGCGUAAAGCGAGCGCAGGUGGUUUAAUAAGUCUGAUGUAAAAGGCAGUGGCUCAACCAUUGUGUGCAUUGGAAACUGUUAGACUUGAGUGCAGUAGAGGAGAGUGGAAUUCCAUGUGUAGCGGUGAAAUGCGUAGAUAUAUGGAGGAACACCGGUGGCGAAAGCGGCUCUCUGGACUGUAACUGACACUGAGGCUCGAAAGCGUGGGUAGCAAACAGG
rnacentral:rRNA from 1 species